rnacentral:SRP_RNA from 1 species
CGUUUGGGUUCUGCGCAACGGAAACCCAUGAACCCUGUCAGGUCCGGAAGGAAGCAGCAGUAAGUGGACCCUUCCGUGUGCCGCAGAGGUGCCUGGAUCGAGC